rnacentral:ncRNA from 2 species
CUGGCGCCACUAGAUGUAUGCUCACUCCUGCUGUCGAACGCAGGGGAACCCGGUGCGAGUCCGGGACUGCCCCGCAGCGGUGAGCGGGCUGCCCGACCGGGCCACGCGAGUCCGAUGACCUGCCGACGGUGUGCCACAGGG